CCUACGGGCGGCAGCAGUGAGGAAUAUUGGUCAAUGGACGAGAGUCUGAACCAGCCAAGUAGCGUGAAGGAUGACUGCCCUAUGGGUUGUAAACUUCUUUUAUAAAGGAAUAAAACGAGGCACGUGUGCCUUUUUGCAUGUACUUUAUGAAUAAGGAUCGGCUAACCCCGUUCCAGCAGCCGCGGUAAUACGGAGGAUCCGAGCGUUAUCCGGAUUUUUUGGGGUUAAAGGGAGCGUAGAUGGGUUGUUAAGUCAGUUGUGAAAGUUUGCGGCUCAACCGUAAAAUUGCAAUUGAUACUGGCAGUCUUGAGUACAGGUGAGGUAGGCGGAAUUCGUGGUGUAGCGGUGAAAUGCUUAGAUAUCACGAAGAACCCCGAUUGCGAAGGCAGCUUACUAGACUGUGACUGACAUUGAUGCACGAAAGUGUGGGUAUCGAACAGGAUUAGAUACCCCAGUAGUC
rnacentral:rRNA from 1 species